AAGUAAGUGUAUUUAAUGCAAGAUAUGUAUAGAAAUAGAAUCUUCAUAAUUCUAGGAAUAAGGUGAUGGUUGGAGAACAACGUACUAAGUGUUCUACGCUACCAAUAGACAAUAACUCGCUAUGAAUUCAGAUAUAAGACUAGUAUUAGUUGGCAAGAAUGGUUCUGGCAAAAGUUCGCUGGGAAACAAUUUGCUUGGGAGAAGAGAGUUUAAAUCCACCUCGCUACAGAGCACUAAUACAUUGAAACCAAGAUGUCGUCAUGGAUCUACCCAACUUAAAGAUGGAACCAACCUAAUUGUUGUUGACACACCAGGUAUUGCGGGCACUACAACUUCGACCACGGAGACAUUUGAAGAACUUACACGAUGUAUAGAGCUUUUAUACCCAGGUCCCCACAUAUUCCUGCUUGUCUUGAAGAUUGAUAGAUUUACACAGGAAGAGAUGGACACAAUCAAACAUCUCAAAUAUUGGUUUGGGCAGGAUUUCCUGAAGUACACAGUAUUUAUUUUCACCGGUAAAGAUUCACUGGAUUAUGAUGGUUCAACAAUUGACCAGCAUCUCGAGGACAGUCCGUCAGAACUGAAAGAUCUCAUCCGGGAAGCAGGCGGGCGGACUGCAGCAAUUAACAACCGAGUUCCCGGACCAGAACUUAAAGCUAUAAUGAAGUUGGUCAAACAAACCAUACAGAUUAACAAUGGUCAAUAUUACACCCAACAAAUGUACCUGCAGGCUGUGAAAGAGAGGGAGGGACAACCAAGUCUGGUGGAGGAUGAACAGUUUGAUCAUGUGAAGGAUUUGCGAUUACGGGAGCGAGCGAAAAAUUACACAAGAAACGGUGUUCAACGGGGACCACACAUAAAGCAACUUUGUUUCUUCAAUGCGCUGGAUGUGUUUGCUUGACAGCCGGAAUAUACUAUUUUUACUUUCGUUAUUAAAUGCUGUAAAUGGACACAGCUCACCAAAUAUUUCUACGCCGUCACCCACGAAUGUAGGGCAAAAGUUAUUUUUAGUUUUGCUCACCCUUUCCCUUUUUCCCCCUUUUGCAUGGCGAUUUUUGUUGACUUUUUGGUGUAGAAUCGAAGAAAAGGGUUUGAAAAUACAUUUUCUACCAGGUUUUGGUGAAUAUUCAUGAUUUUGAGGCGGAAGGAUACAAGAGUUGAGAGGUUGGUUAGGUUAAAAUGUAGGGUCCGAAAUUGCAUGUUUUCUUGUCUCUACUUCCAGCUUGUGUAUCUCAAGUUUUCCAUGGUGAACCUCAUACGUGCUUUUGGGCAAGAGGUUGCCACAUGUUGCUCCAUCUGUGGUAGAAAGCGUUCUACCCAACGAAAAUUUGGGAAAAAGUUAGAGCCGGUCUAAUAGACGAGAAUUAACAUUAAAGUCAAUGGGCAAAUGUUUAGUGAUCUGUGGCCGAGACUGAUAUGCCUUAGUUUUGAAAAUAUGAAGAUUAAACUCUCAGAAAAUAUGAAUAAAAUAAUUUGACUACUGAAAAACUAAAAAAAAGUUAAAUUUAAAAAAAAAAAAAAAAAUU